rnacentral:rRNA from 1 species
GACGUAGGGGGCCAGCGUUGCUCGGAAUUACUGGGCGUAAAGGGUUCGUAGGCGGUGUGGCAAGUCGGGAGUGAAAUCUCUGGGCUUAACUCAGAGGCUGCUUCCGAAACUGCCGUGCUAGAGUGCGGGAGAGGCGAGUGGAAUUCCUGGUGUAGCGGUGAAAUGCGUAGAUAUCAGGAGGAACACCGGUGGUGUAAACGGCUUUCUGGACCAUAACUGACGCUGAGGCACGAAAGCGUGGGUAGCAAACAGG